GAGCGGGAAAACGUGAGGGGAAAAGAGCGGGAAAACGUGAGGGAGCGGAAAGGAGAGGAGCUGCCAGAGCUGCAGAAAGAAGGCUGCAGUGAUGGAUCCACGCAGUGAGGGGCCCUACGGCCGAGACCGCCUGAGACCACCGUGUGUCCCCAAGUCCCCCUGGCCCAGGGACAAGGUGGUCCUGGGGGUCCCCAGGAGACGCAGCGUCCCCGUGUCCUGCCCGGUUCUCCCCUCAGGUCCCCCCAGGGGGAUCCCACGCGUGGAGGUGCUGCUGAGGCAGGUCCACAGAUCGCAGAAAGUCCUGCAGACCACGGUGGAGGAGCUGGUGAAGGCACAGGACUGCAGUGAGGGGUUGUGCCAGCACCUGGAGCAGCGUGAGUCAGC